GGAGACGUGGCUGAGCGGCUUAAAGCGGCAUCCUGCUAAGAUGUCGACCGGGAAACCGGUCCGGAGGUUCGAAUCCUCCCGUCUCCG
rnacentral:tRNA from 1 species